AUCACCGUGAUGAAUUCAAUAACCGCCCCAGUCUGAUUUCUGUGACUGAAAGGUAUUUCUGAGGUGUG